UACGUAGGUGACAAGCGUUGUCCGGAUUUACUGGGCGUAAAGAGCGCGCAGGCGGUCGAUCAAGUCGAGUGUGAAAGCCCCCGGCUCAACUGGGGAGGGUCACGCGAUACUGAUCGACUCGAAGGCAGGAGAGGGUAGUGGAAUUCCCGGUGGAGCGGUGAAAUGCGUAGAGAUCGGAAAGAACACCAACGGCGAAAGCACUCUGCUGGGCCGACACUGACACUGAGAGACGAAAGCUAGGGGAGCGAAUGGG
rnacentral:rRNA from 1 species